rnacentral:rRNA from 1 species
CCUACGGGUGGCAGCAGUGAGGAAUAUUGGUCAAUGGCCGGAAGGCUGAACCAGCCAUGCCGCGUGAAGGUCAGUGCCCUAUGGGCGUUAAACUUCUUUUGUUCUGGAGCAAUAAUGGUCACGUUUGGCCAGACGAGAGUACCGUACGAAUAAGCAUCGGCUCACUCCGUGCCAGCAGCCGCGGUAAUACGGGGGAUGCAAGCGUUAUCCGGAGUUAUUGGGGUUAAAGGGGGCGUAGGCGGUGAGGUAAGUCAGCGGUGAAAUGCCCCCGCUCAACGGGGUGAAGUGCCAUUGAUACUGGCGUGCUGGAGUGCGGAUGACGUGGGAGGAAUGUGUGGUGUAGCGGUGAAAUGCAUAGAUAUCACACAGAACACCGAUUGCGAAGGCAUCUCACGAAUCCGCGAUUGACGCUGAUGCACGAAAGCGUGGGUAUCAAACAGGAUUAGAUACCCGAGUAGUC